AAUUUGAGACCCUUCAAAUUUUCAAGCUCCAUUUUCCUGUUUUUUUCUCCCUUUUUACUGGUAGGGGACCUGAGAAAAAGCAUCUGAUCCCAGGCAUUGUUUAGCAGCUUCAAAUAGUGCAAAAGCAGUGGUAAAAUUACUUCAGAUUACAAAAUCACUUUGUAAACCAGUUACAGUAAUGGUGUCUGUGUGCAUAAGAGGGAGGAGGUGAGUCUGUGCCACUUGUCCACAAGCACUCAUCAGGCUGUUAAAAUUCAGCAGGGUUCAGUCUAGAGGCUUUACUUCCACAUCACCCGCCCACUGCCAGUGCUGCCUCUCCGGAUGAUGCCCAGGUGAGUCAUUUCCUGUCCUCGGUGCAGCCCUCUGUCCCUGCUGGGAGAGCUGUCAGCUUCCUCUUCCUCUGGGAGGCAGACACUGGUGAGAGCCCUCAGGAUGCUGCUGCUCCCACUCCUGGCCCUGGCUGCAGCCUGCUCUCACGGGCAAGCACAAGUGUUUCUGAGGCAGAGGCGAGCAUCCAUUACCAGCGAGCCAACCAAAACUGCACAGAUUGAGUGUGUAGUCGAGGGCAUGUCAGAGGCUGCCUUCCAGACUCUCUAUGUACACUGGUACCGGCAUCUACCCUCCAGACCUCCCGAAUGGAUUCUGCUUAUCCAAACAGGUCAAGCUCAGUAUGAUGACGAUUCCUAUAAGAACAAGUACUCCUCUUCGAAAAAAGGCCCGAACAUCUGCACUUUCACCAUCAAUGACAUCAACCCCAGCGAUGAAGGCACCUACUACUGUGCCUACUGGCAGAACCACAGAACUAGCAAACCUCAGGUAGCCUGUACAGAAACCUGUACCACGAGUGGCAGGCUUUCUGUCAAGUGCACAGCCACACCUGCACCUUCCUGCCUCUAAAGCAUCCCAACAGGUUUAUGCAGAGGGUGUAAGUAGAAAUAAAGGACAAAGAAAAG